UUCCCACUUCUUUACAAUUUCUUCAUUUCCUCUUCCAGAAUUUCUUCAUUCUUCUUCAUCUCUCAUCUUCUGUUUUCUUCUUGGUACAAGAUCUAAACGAUCAUGUACCAAUAUCUAAACGAUCAGUUGUCUAUCCCAAAUAGACGAGGAUAGACCACUAUCACUAAUAGAUAGUUUAGACUGGGUAUAAGAUCAUUUCAAUUGGGAACAAGGGUACAAGAUCAUUUAAACUAGCUACAAUAAGGCCCUAUUUACGUUCUGCUUUACGCAGGAGAUAAGACUUCAUACGACAAGAGUAGCCUAUGCGUUGAGAUGUUGAGUGGUGAAGACUACACGAGAUAAGGUUCUGGCAUUGACACGUGGUGUUUUGACAUUAGACCAUUCUUAUCAUCGGACAGAAGUAACCAUUAUGGCAUAGAUAGUGUCACUGGAAAGAUUUAUAAAUAGGUGAAGUCCAACCAUGUUGAAGUUGCUUUUAAUUUGCUUAAGAAAGAAGUGAAAGAACAUCCAAGAUUUUCAGAAAGCUUGAAUCUGGCAAGAAGUUGCAAGGAAGAGUAAGAAAGUUUUGACUAAGGAAAUUAGGCAAGUAAGCACAUUAAUUGUAAGUGGUUCUUCUUUAAAAUGUUUCAAAUAAAAAGGAUUUCUAAUAUGCUUAAUUCCUUAAUGAUAUUUGCGGUAAAGCCUUAA